AAUGGCGUUGAUGACACACUUGCCCUCACUGAUAAAGGUGAUGAGACCUUUAAUGUACUCUACCUGAGCCACA
rnacentral:snoRNA from 1 species